rnacentral:tRNA from 1 species
UACCCCCAGGGGGAAGUCGAAUCCCCGCUGCCUCCUUGAAAAAAAGAAUGUCCUGAACCACUAGACGAUAGGGGC